AGCGAACGCUGGCGGCAGGCCUAACACAUGCAAGUCGAACGAAGCCUUCGGGCUUAGUGGCGGACGGGUGAGUAACACGUGGGAACAUACCUUUUGGUUCGGAAUAACGCAGAGAAAUUUGCGCUAAUACCGAAUGAGCCCUUAGGGGGAAAGAUUUAUCGCCGAAAGAUCGGCCCGCGUUGGAUUAGGUAGUUGGUGUGGUAAAGGCGCACCAAGCCUACGAUCCAUAGCUGGUCUGAGAGGAUGAUCAGCCACACUGGGACUGAGACACGGCCCAGACUCCUACGGGAGGCAGCAGUGGGGAAUCUUGCGCAAUGGGCGAAAGCUUGACGCAGCCAUGCCGCGUGAAUGAUGAAGGUCUUAGGAUUGUAAAAUUCUUUUACCAGGGACGAUAAUGACGGUACCUGGAGAAAAAGCCCCGGCUAACUUCGUGCCAGCCGCCGCAGUAAUAC
rnacentral:rRNA from 1 species